rnacentral:rRNA from 1 species
UAAGAGACAGCAGUCGCCGCGGUAAUACAGAGGGUGCGAGCGUUAAUCGGAUUUACUGGGCGUAAAGCGUGCGUAGGCGGCUUUUUAAGUCGGAUGUGAAAUCCCUGAGCUUAACUUAGGAAUUGCAUUCGAUACUGGGAAGCUAGAGUAUGGGAGAGGAUGGUAGAAUUUCAGGUGUAGCGGUGAAAUGCGUAGAGAUCUGGAGGAAUACCGAUGGCGAAGGCAGCCAUCUGGCCUAAUACUGACGCUGAGGUACGAAAGCAUGGGGAGCAAACAGGAUUAGAUACCCCGUAGUCCCUGUCUCUUAUACA